GGUAACCUGGUAUCUGAACCUUAAUCUUUCCAAUAUCAUUUUUUAUUGUUCGCCAAGCAAAGGGAGGAAAAGAUAACACUUUGGUGCCUACAUCACGAAGGGCAUGGCUGAGAUUAAGACUUCUGGAGGAGGAAAAGAUAACACUUUAGUGCGUACAUCACUAAGGGCAUGGCUGAGAUUAAGACUUCUGGGAGACCGAUCGACCAAUUGCUGGAGAAGGUUCUGUGCAUGAACAUUCUUUCUUCUGAUUAUUUCAGAGACCUAUUGCGCCUGAAAACUUAUCACGAAG
rnacentral:lncRNA from 1 species